rnacentral:rRNA from 1 species
UACGAAGGGGGCGAGCGUUGUUCGGAAUUACUGGGCGUAAAGAGUGUGUAGGCGGUGCUCUAAGUUCGGUGUGAAAUCUCCCGGCUUAACUGGGAGGGUGCGCCGGAAACUGGAGUGCUUGAGCGUGGGAGAGGAAAGCGGAAUUCCUGGUGUAGCGGUGAAAUGCGUAGAUAUCAGGAGGAACACCUGCGGUGUAGACGGCUUUCUGGACCAUUGCUGACGCUGAGACACGAAAGCGUGGGUAGCAAACAGG